rnacentral:rRNA from 1 species
UACGAAGGUCCCAAGCGUUGUUCGGAAUCACUGGGCGUAAAGGGAGCGUAGGCGGCGUGGUAAGUCAGAUGUGAAAUCCCGGGGCUCAACCCCGGAACUGCAUCCGAUACUGCCAUGCUAGAGGAUUGGAGAGGUAGCUGGAAUUCUUGGUGUAGCAGUGAAAUGCGUAGAUAUCGAGAGGAACACCUGCGGCGAAGGCGGGUUGCUGGGCCGACACUGACGCUGAUGCGCGAAAGCCAGGGGAGCGAACGGG